rnacentral:rRNA from 1 species
CAAAGGAGCAAUCCGCUAUAGGAUGGGCUCGCGUCCGAUUAGAUAGUUGGCGGGGUAACGGCCCACCAAGUCGACGAUCGGUAGCCGGACUGAGAGGUUGAACGGCCACAUUGGGACUGAGACACGGCCCAGACUCCUACGGGAGGCAGCAGUGGGGGAUAUUGCACAAUGGAGGGAACUCUGAUGCAGCGACGCCGCGUGAGGGAAGAAGGUUUUCGGAUUGUAAACCUCUGUCUUCGGUGACGAAACGAGACGGUAGCCGAGGAGGAAGCCACGGCUAACUACGUGCCAGCAGCCGCGGUAAUACGUAGGUGGCAAGCGUUGUCCGGAAUUACUGGGUGUAAAGGGAGCGUAGGCGGGAAAGCAAGUUGAAUGUUUAAGGUACGGGCUCAACCUGUACAAGCGUUCAAAACUGUUUUUCUUGAGUGGAGUAGAGGUAAGCGGAAUUCCUAGUGUAGCGGUGAAACGCGUAAAUAUUAGGAGGAACACCAGUGGCGAAGGCGGCUUACUGGGCUUUAACUGACGCUGAGGCUCGAAAGCGUGGGUAGCAAACAGGAUUAGAUACCCUGGUAGUCCACGCCGUAAACGAUGAUUACUAGGUGUGGGGGGACUGACCCCUUCC